AUCUAUGGUAAUACCACCCUGAGCACUCUUGGCCUGGUUUGAUCUCCUGAGUAAAGCAGGGUUGAAUGCAGUGAGUAUUUGGAUGGGGGAAAAAACUUCAGAACCAUUCAAG
rnacentral:rRNA from 1 species